GGAGGAAGAAGGGGGCGCGGGGAGGGCUGGGCGUCGGUAGACGCUGGCUAUGCUGGCGAGGCAGGAGCGGGAGACUGGGUGAGCGUAGUCCAGCGGGAGGGUGUCACCCACGUGGGCGGUGGUCCGCCAACCCGCCAGAAGGACUGUGACCGUGGUGGGGAAGCUGAGCCUCCAGAGCUGGGCCCCCAGGCUGGUGGUGCGUGUCGUCGUCGGGGAACCCGCCGGUCUGCCACGUCGUCCAACUCACAUCUGGAGCCGCAGUUAGGAAAUGAGACACCAACGGGGACCGACCAGGGAGCAGCAAAUGAGGUCUACACGCAGAAUGAGAACUAAACACAGUCACGGAGGAGAGAGGAGCCUGGCGUGCUGCAGUCUAUGGGGUCGCGGCGUUGGAUGGAACUUCGUGAUUGAACAGCAACAGCAACUGGAGAUGGCGCGAGUUCAGGUGGCCGUGAGUCUCUUCUGAUACUCUACUUUCACUCAUAAGUACAUUUGUCCUUCUGUGUGUUAUAUGUUCGUGUGUGUGUGUGUGUGUCCAGGCACACAAGUCCUCUAUCCUGAGGAUAAAUGUCAGGCACAACUCUUUACGUGGAUGUGCACACAAUAAAUAUUAGAAUUCCUGAGUGAAUAAUCUUACA
rnacentral:lncRNA from 1 species